rnacentral:rRNA from 1 species
GAUGAACGCUGGCGGCGUGCCUAAUACAUGCAAGUCGAGCGAACAGACGAGGAGCUUGCUCCUCUGACGUUAGCGGCGGACGGGUGAGUAACACGUGGAUAACCUACCUAUAAGACUGGGAUAACUUCGGGAAACCGGUGCUACUACCGGCUAAUAUAUUCAACCGCAUGGUUCAAUAGUGAAAGACGGUUUUGCUGUCACUUAUAGAUGGAUCCGCGCCGCAUUAGCUAGUUGGUAAGGUAACGGCUUACCAAGGCAACGAUGCGUAGCCGACCUGAGAGGGUGAUCGGCCACACUGGAACUGAGACACGGUCCAGACUCCUACGGGAGGCAGCAGUAGGGAAUCUUCCGCAAUGGGCGAAAGCCUGACGGAGCAACGCCGCGUGAGUGAUGAAGGUCUUCGGAUCGUAAAACUCUGUUAUUAGGGAAGAACAAAUGUGUAAGUAACUAUGCACGUCUUGACGGUACCUAAUCAGAAAGCCACGGCUAACUACGUG